rnacentral:lncRNA from 1 species
UAUAACUACGGAGUCUUUAGGCUUCCCCUUCGCCGUCUUCCUGCGGAACGGGCUCGGGAACAAUGUCUUCCUGAUCUGAAAUGGUUAAAUAAGGAAUGAGCUACACCAGCCCAGUAAAGACAUCACACUAUCUCACCGCCACGGAAGUAAAGGUGGGUAGAAAACACAAAAAAGACCAAUGGAGCAUAAUUUAUAAUAAACUCGUUUAUUAACAUAAAAACC